rnacentral:tRNA from 2 species
CGAGAUGUAACUCAGUUUGGUAGAGUGCUUGGUUUGGGACCAAGAUGCCGCAGGUUCGAGUCCUGUCAUCUCGA